GAUAUUGACAACACAUAUUAACGUACACUCACUAGAGUGAUCAUCAAAUCCUUUUAACAGUUUAUUUUACAGACUUUGUCUUAAUUUUUUUUACAAAACCUCUAGAAACCACGUCAGUUUUGUUUACUAUUACACUAAAAAAAAGUUAGCAGAAAACGAUGAAAGGUCAGAUUUUACUGUCAUACUGAUUUUUUUCCAGUGGACUGAUGAAAACUGCAUUUUUUUUAUUCCACCUUGACUUCACUGGUGAAAAAAAAUAAUAGAAACCAUCAGAUAAAUUCUAAUGGUUUCCAAUAAAAUAACGGAAUUUUGUGGUGGUUUUAAUGGUAAAAGCUAAUGGUUUUUGAGAACAAAUCCUUUGUGUUUCCCCAUACUUGGAGCUCUGUCAGUGCACACAGAAAUAAGUUUGUCCAGUUCCGUUUUUAUCAGCAACAAAAUCCAUAAAAAUUUUAACUGUGCAUUCAGACCGCCACCGGCGAGAGCGUCAAUAAAAGCUCUGGCUGCCCUGCCAACGACGCUAAAGGAAAGGUGUAGUGGACGCUCUGACGCUCGAAUGCAUUCUCUGAACUCCUCUCAGGCGGAGGUUUCCGCCAUUCGAUUGGUUGCCGCCGAACAUUUCCGCCUUCCGAUUGGUUGCCGCCGAACCACGUCAUAUCUCAUUACCAUAAAGUUGAGCUGAUUUUAACUCUCCUCGACGCUCACGCUGUGUACAUGACGCGCCGCGCCGCUGCUCACCGGAGCUCGCCGCCGGCUCUCAUUGAAAGUGAAUGACUUCCGGCCACUUUGACGCUCUCGCCGGUGGCGGUCUGAAUGCACAGUAAUACAUCCUGUCCUUUAGUUGCAUUGUUUAGGCAGAUUGAACAGAUAUUCUUCAUGUCUUACGUCACCAGGUCUGGUGUUACCCAUAUAAACUCCAGCAGUGUAGAUUUAAAACUGGUGAUUUUGUUGUGUGCCACGCUCAAAAUUGCUUAAAUCACCUUUCUUUCCCAUUCUAACAUUCAGUUUGGAGUUCAGGAGAUUGUCUUGACCAGGACCACACCCCUAAAUGCAUUGAAGCAACUGCCAUGUGAUUGGUUGAUAAGAUAAUUGCAUUAAUGAUCAAUUGAACAGGUGUUCCAAAUAAUCCUUUAGAAAUGAAUGACAUACAGAAAUCAUCUCCAUCUCUUCUGUGGAAAGCAGGUCAACUACAUCUUCUGACCGUGCCUCCAUGCCCAUGGUCAAACAUAUCGAUUGAUUUCGUCACUGAUUUACCUCUUUCUCAGAGCAAUACGACUAUUCUGACGGUGGUGGAUUGUUUGAAGGCCUGCCGCUUUAUCCCUCUGCCAAAACUCCCUUCAGCACUACAAAUAGCGGAAUAGCUCCUCCAUCAUGUGUUUCACUACUAUGAAUUACCUUAGGAUAUAGUUUCGCAUCUUGGCCCUCAAUUCACCUCACGGGUAUGGUCCGACGACUUCAGUAUCCCUAAUGUCAAUGUAAGACUCAACUCAGUAUAUCACCCUCAGUUCAAUGGCCAAACAAAACCUCUCAACCAAGAACUCACCAAGUUUCUCAGGUUGUACUGCCAACAGCAGCUGAAUGGGCCAGUUUCAUCCCAAUGGUCAGAUAGACCAUUCUGGCACAAUUUCUUCAAGAAGCCACAAAAAUGAUGUGAAGAGAUAAAACCUCCAACAGAUGCCAAUGCAUGUGCACACCAAAAACUUGCUGCAGCACAUGAAGAAAAACUUUUCUGGGAUAUUCAAAUCAGGUUCCCCAUAUAACAGUUUUACAAAAAGUGUCAAGCAAAAAAAAAAAAAAACUAGAAAAUCGAAUGGAAAUUCAUUCACUUCCAGACUAUCUGAAAAUACAAGAAACUUUGGACCUUCUCCAACAAUUUGCACAACUAAAGCACCAGUACCUGCAGUUUGUGGCAUGCUUCUUCAUUUAUAGCCCACAUGUACACUGUUAACCAGCUAUUAAAAGACUUCCAUAAGAAGAUGAAACUCUUUUUCGAUGCGACAUGAACCGUUGUAGCAAAACAACACAGAUGUAAAAGUGUAAUGUAUUAUGGGCUUUGCUGUCCUGUUCAGUCCACCACAUCAGCAACAACAGUUGCUGUAAAAGAGAUGCUGUCUACAGACCAAAGCACAACAACAAUUCAACACUAGUUGACCUGCCUUUCCAGGGAACAAACUCUUUAACCACAAAAAGUUGAAUCAGAUUUUAGCUGGCCAAUCAUUCAUGCAAGCAAACAAACCUUCUGUCAGUCAAAUAUUCAUUUGUACCUGCAGCAAUAUGUCCAAGUAUGCAUGGAAGGAAAUCCAUGUACAUUCACUGUUGUGCAUAUAUGUGCUGUGCAUAUGGUGAAAAUGCUAUGCACAUAAAUUGCAACGGUAAAGUGUUUAAAGGACCUUGUUAAUGCAUGCAUUUGUGCUACUGCAGAAUGCCACCACACUGGCUGCAAUCCAAUUUUGCUGAGUGACAUCUGUACAGUUUUUGGGGUGUUUGGGGGAUUUGUCCAUACUUGACAGUCUCAAGACAGGGCAGACUAAAAUUUAGGACUUCCCUGAGUAUGUUGACGUAGAUGCUGAAUUUGGAGAAACAUCACUUGAUGAAUUGCUUACAGAAUCCACACCAAAGACCAUCAUACACAACCUACAAUUUGCAAAACUUUGAAAAAACAUUAAAACGAGACACAGAACAAACAAGACAGUGGUACAGUGUGUGCUCAAGUUAACCAAUACUGCUGCCAAAGGCUAAUUGACAUACUAAACCCAUACUUGGCCACAAUGAGGACAGGCAUUAUGCUGCUAAUACAUCUGGGAAAACACAGAGACACGUGUUUGAUCAGCAGUUCAUCUAAGGUAGAAUGUGUGGUGUCACGUUUCUGCAAUUCGAUCAAACACAACUACUGUACAAAAAAGAAAGGAGACAAGAGCAAAAUGGAUCUGCACCUUAGUCAGAAGAAGAAAUGGCAGAAACAGAAAAAGGGAAAAAAGGCAAAAUACUACAACCCACCUAAAAAUAUGAAAAGCAUGAAAAGUGUUUAUAGUUCUCAAUAGUGUGGAAAAGCACAAUUGGCAAAUAAAACAAUGAAGAACAAACCUUUGCUAUUCAGUGAAAUUGAGAGCAAGCAUAAUGCAGACAAAUGUUUCAAGGUGCAAUGAUUUCUUACACCCUGUAGGACAAACUGGACAUUCCCAGGUCACUCUUUUGUCUGCAGAGGAGAGGUGAAUCUCAUAAGCAGACUGUAGAAGUUGAUCUGGAUAAACAAGGAAAGUGGGAUUCACUUUAGCACCAUCUCAAACUUAAAAAGACACGAAAGGGAGCAGCAUGCUGGACAAGAACCCAUGUUGUGUAUUGACCCAA